ACGGGUGAGUAACGCGUGGUCAACCUUCCGUUGAAUGGGGGAUAACUAGCCGAAAGGUUAGCUAAUACCGCAUACGAUCUUUCGAAGGCAUCUUUGAAAGAUGAAAGGAGCAAUUCGUUCAACGACGGGACCGCGUCCCAUUAGCUAGAUGGUGGGGUGAUGGCCUACCAUGGCAACGAUGGGUAGCUGGUUUGAGAGAGCGACCAGCCACACUGGGACUGAGAGACGGCCCAGACUCCUACGGGAGGCAGCAGUGAGGAAUUUUCCGCAAUGGGCGAAAGCCUGACGGAGCGACGCCGCGUGUGGGAAGAAGGCCUUCGGGUCGUAAACCACUGUCGAAGGGGACGAUAAUGACGGUACCCUUGGAGGAAGCCCCGGCUAACUACGUGCCAGCAGCCGCGGUAAGACGUAGGGGGCAAGCGUUGUUCGGAAUUAUUGGGCGUAAAGCGCUCGUAGGCGGGAUUGGAAGUCCGUGUUGAAAGACCUCGGCUCAACUGAGGGACCGGCUCGGAUACUCUAAUUCUUGAGGCAAUCAGAGGAUGAUGGAAUUCCCGGUGUAGCGGUGAAAUGCGUAGA
rnacentral:rRNA from 1 species